rnacentral:rRNA from 1 species
GACGAACGCUGGCGGCGUGCUUAACACAUGCAAGUCGAACGGAAAGGCCCUGCUUUUUUGGGGUGCUCGAGUUGCGAACUGGUGAGUAACACUUGAGUAACCUGCCCUUGACUUUGGGUUAACUUCAGGAAACUGGGGCUAAUACCGGAUAGGAGCUCCUGCUGCUUGGUGGGGGUUGGAAAGUUUCGGUGGUUGGGGAUGGACUGGCGGCGUCUCAGCUUGUUGGUGGGGUAGUGGCUUACCAAGGCUUUGCCGGGUAGCCGGCCUGAGAGGGUGACCGGCCACAUUGGGACUGAGAUACGGCACAGACUACUAUGGGAGGUAGCAGUGGGGAAUAUUGCACAAUGGGCGGAAGCAUGAUGCAGCAAAGCCGCGUGCGGGAUGACGGCCUUCGGGUUGUAAACCGAUUUCGCCUGUGACGAAGCGUGAGUGACGGUAAUGGGUAAAGAAGCACCGGCUAACUACGUG